GACGAACGCUGGCGGCGUGCUUAACACAUGCAAGUCGAACGGAAAGGCCUUUUCGGAGGUACUCGAGUGGCGAACGGGUGAGUAACACGUGGGUGAUCUGCCCUGCACUCUGGGAUAAGCCUGGGAAACUGGGUCUAAUACCGGAUAGGACCGCACUUUAGUGUGUGUGGUGGAAAGUUUUUUCGGUGUAGGAUGAGCCCGCGGCCUAUCAGCUUGUUGGUGGGGUAAUGGCCUACCAAGGCGGCGACGGGUAGCCGGACUGAGAGGUUGGUCGGCCACAUUGGGACUGAGAUACGGCCCAGACUCCUACGGGAGGCAGCAGUGGGGAAUAUUGCACAAUGGGCGCAAGCCUGAUGCAGCGACGCCGCGUAGGGGAUGACGGCCUUCGGGUUGUAAACUCCUUUCGCCAGGGACGAAGCGUUUUGUGACGGUACCUGGAGAAGAAGCACCGGCUAACUACGUG
rnacentral:rRNA from 1 species